AUUGAACGCUGGCGGCAGGCCUAACACAUGCAAGUCGAGCGGAUGAAGGGAGCUUGCUCCUGGAUUCAGCGGCGGACGGGUGAGUAAUGCCUAGGAAUCUGCCUGGUAGUGGGGGAUAACGUCCGGAAACGGGCGCUAAUACCGCAUACGUCCUGAGGGAGAAAGUGGGGGAUCUUAGGACCUCACGCUAUCAGAUGAGCCUAGGUCGGAUUAGCUAGUUGGUGGGGUAAAGGCCUACCAAGGCGACGAUCCGUAACUGGCCUGAGAGGAUGAUCAGUCACACUGGAACUGAGACACGGUCCAGACUCCUACGGGAGGCAGCAGUGGGGAAUAUUGGACAAUGGGCGAAAGCCUGAUCCAGCCAUGCCGCGUGUGUGAAGAAGGUCUUCGGAUUGUAAAGCACUUUAAGUUGGGAGGAAGGGCAGUAAGUUAAUACCUUGCUGUUUUGACGUUACCAACAGAAUAAGCACCGGCUAACUUCGUG
rnacentral:rRNA from 1 species